GUAAAGGAAGAGUAGGCGCUGCGGAUAGAAAGGGAGGGAGUGGAAAACUAGGAGAGAGAGAGAGAGAGAGAGAAAGAAAGAAAGAAAGAGAGAGAGAGAGUUGGACUGUUUAAAAUUAAUAAUUGGGUAAGACAAGGGGGGGGACUUUCAAAGAGGAGGGGUAGUUAGGGACUAUCCGGCGCCUGUCAUCUGAACAGGACGGGGUGGGGAUGUAGAGAAAGCCCCCUUUCCCAGUCCCAUCUCCUGUCAAAAGAGACCCAGCGCUCAAGUAGCCGCCUAAAGUCACAAGGAACAGCCGGCUCACCUCGGUUGGCAGCUACAGCGAAGGCAUCUGAGAACGGAAACCCUGCCUCUUUCUUACCUGGAUGAUACCAAGUAGACGGAAAGGUCUUUAGAUUAUCUCUUUCCACCUGCUUCGGAUAAUGGAGAGAAGGAAAGAGCAGCCUGGCCAGCCUGCCACGAAGAAGCAUAACUGUUUGAAAUGACUACCGAAAAAGAUAAGCAAGGAAGAGAAAAUGCUCAGCUUUUUGGCUGGAUGAAAGAACUCCAUUUAUCAUGGAUUUAGACCUGGUAUCCUUUAUUAUUCCCAAGGGGACCUGCUCCCUCCAAACACCCCAGCUCUUACGAACCAUCUGGGGAGCCGAAGACAGGAGACCUCAUCUGCUGGGCCCGUUUUCCUUGAUCAGUUUUUUGGGGCCAUGUGUUCUCCAUUAGCCAAAAGAAACAUUUCACACAUCAUAAACAGCCCUGUUCACAAACGCCACUCCUGGAAGAGCCCAUGAGAAGAGCCUGUGUUCUCUUGGCCUCAUGUGGAACCUUCCCCAGCAUUAACAUGAAUGAAAAUUCCUGGAACCUCUCGAGCAAACUUAAAUGUUACUUCAGAGUUUAUAUUGAUGGGGCAACAACCCCUAAGUCCUUGGAAGAACUAAAUGCGUAAGUCAGAUGAUCUUCCUUUGUGGUCCGCUGCUGUGUUACUCAUUCAGAACAACAAGCGUUGGAAGGGGCUUUAGAGGUCUUCUAGUCCAACUGGCUGCUCAGUCUCUUCUUAAAAGCCUCCAGUGAUGGAGCAACCAGGUUAUUUUCCUGUAUCUUCCAAAUCUCAAAGAAUCUGUGUUGUUCAGUUGCUAAGUCUCUUUGUUGCUGGUAUCCUUAAGAUUUGUAUUGACUGUUUCCCUAUGACUAUCAUUAAGUGUUGUACCUUA